GGCGCAAUAGUGUAGUGGUAACAUACUCGUCAUGAAUUCGAGAGACUAGCAAGGGUUCGAUUCCCGUUGCGCCU